AUAUUUGGGUGACAAUGAGAGAGAGCACGCUUGUGGACAUUCAUGGACAUUCGUGUAAAAUACAUGAGUGUCCACAGGCGUGCUCUCUUGUUGUCACCCGAAU
rfam:Picea glauca, whole genome shotgun sequence.